GCUACAAGUAAGGUUAUCGCCGCGACUAUAGAGGUCGGGGAGGAAAGUCCGGACAGCAAAGAGCGACAUACCACCUAACAGAUGGUGCCUGUUGCAAGACAGGUAAGAGAGUGCCACAGAAAAUAACCGUCCGUUGCGCCUUGGCGUGACGAGAUAAGGGUGAAAAAGUGAGGUAAGAGCUCACUGGUAGGGGUGGCAACAUCCCUAUCGGGUAAACCUUAUGUGCUGAAAUGUCAAAUAAGUGAGUGCUUGAGAACGGCUCGUUCGAUACUCAUGGGUAGACAGAUACAUGCAGGUGGUGACAUCUGCGGUAGAUAAAUGAUGACCUUCCCAACUUGUUGGGAAAACAGAAUCCGGCUUAUUUACUUGUAGUUUUU
rnacentral:RNase_P_RNA from 1 species